rnacentral:misc_RNA from 4 species
GUACCCUCAAGCUUUGCUUGGUGUUGGGCGUCUUGUCUCUAGCUUUGCUGGAGACUCGCCUUAAAGUAAUUGGCAGCCGGCCUACUGGUUUCGGAGCGCAGCACAAGUCGCACUCUCUAUCAGCAAAGGUCUAGCAUCCAUUAAGCCUUUUUUUCAAC